rnacentral:tRNA from 1 species
CGGGUAUAGCUCAAUUGGCUAGAGCAUCUGCCUUCCAAGCAGAGGGUUGUGGGUUCGAGCCCCAUUACCC